UUUGUUUCUUGGUCUUUGGCUAAAAUCAAGUGUAGGGUCUGUUCUUAUCAGUUUAAUAUCUGAUAAUCCUCUAUCGAAGGACAAUAUAUAAAAUAAAUUUUUGGAACAGGGAGUUUGAAUAGGAGCUUGCUCUGGGCACUUCCUGAAUCAAACUGGUAUUGUGGUAUCUUCAGAAACAGAACGCCUUCC